rnacentral:hammerhead_ribozyme from 1 species
AUCCUGCCGACGAGUCCCAAAUAGAGCAAACGCGCGUCCUGGAU